CACCGGCGCCACAAGUGGCCAUCGCGAUUAUUGGGCCUAAAGCGUCCGUAGCAGGACGAGCACAUCUCCGGUGAAAUCGUUGCGCUUAACGUAACGGAUUGCGGGAGACACGACUUGUCUUGGGACCGGGAGGGGUUAGAGGUAUUCAGGGGGGAGCGGUAAAAUGCGAUAAUCCCCUGAGGACCACCGACGGCGAAGGCAUCUAACCAGAACGGAUCCGACUGUGAGGGACGAAAGCCAGGGGAGCAAACCG
rnacentral:rRNA from 1 species